CCUACGGGUGGCUGCAGUGGGGAAUAUUGGACAAUGGGCGAAAGCCUGAUCCAGCCAUGCCGCGUGUGUGAAGAAGGCCUUCGGGUUGUAAAGCACUUUCAGUGGGGAAGAAAGCCUUGGGGCUAAUACCCUCGAGGAAGGACAUCACCCACAGAAGAAGCACCGGCUAACUCCGUGCCAGCAGCCGCGGUAAUACGGAGGGUGCGAGCGUUAAUCGGAAUUACUGGGCGUAAAGCGCGCGUAGGUGGUCUGAUAAGCCGGUUGUGAAAGCCCCGGGCUCAACCUGGGAACGGCAUCCGGAACUGUCAGGCUAGAGUGCAGGAGAGGAAGGUAGAAUUCCCGGUGUAGCGGUGAAAUGCGUAGAGAUCGGGAGGAAUACCAGUGGCGAAGGCGGCCUUCUGGACUGACACUGACGCUGAGGUGCGAAAGCGUGGGUAGCAAACAGGAUUAGAUACCCGAGUAGUC
rnacentral:rRNA from 1 species